AGCCCGUCUCGCGCCUGAGGUCUCGCCCGCAGGCCGGUGGCGCGGGGUCAGCUGCUGCCUGCGGUCCAGGACAGGGUCGGUUCCGCCGCGCAGCGCCCAGGCCCAGCUCGUCCAGAGUCUGCGGACAGCGCACGUCCAGCAGUGCUUUCUGGGCCUCUGUAGCCAGAGCUGGCCCUGCUGCAGCUUACGUCUGCCUGCAGCCCAGACGUCCUCCUGGUCCUCCUGAUGCCCCCGACCUCCACGGAGGACGAGCAUUUCCAGCCCAGCCCUCCCCAUCUUCACCUCGCACUCCCCUGACACACUGGGAGCCUCCUGAUCCGUGAACCCGCGCUGGCGGGAGUAGCUACUGACCGCUGGGGACCCCUGCCCAGGCUGUUCGCAUGUGGAAAGGAUUCAGGGAGCAGGCGAUGCCCAAAGCGUGGAGACCAGCACUGCUCUCUCCCCAGUGACAGGUGCACGCCCAGAUCACGGAUGUGUCGGGAACAGCUGUGCUCCUGCUGCUCAGCGUCCGUCACUCCAGGCUGGGAGCGGGUCCCCAAGCUUCUGGCUGGGCCUAUCCGUCUCCACUCUCAGUGUGGGGGUGGGGGGCGCCAACAGCACGCAUUUGCUCUCUGCACUUCUCGUCUGAUAAUGGGCAGAGGGUCCUUCUGCAGCCCCAAAACAUCCCUAGGCAGGAGCCCUGGGGCCCCAAGCAGCCAGGGAGGUGAGCACCAAGGACCUCCCAGAGAGCGUCACCUUCCGUCGAGGGAGGCCCAGCCUGGGGGCGGUGUCUGAGACUUGGAAUCAACGCUUCCGUUGGUGGCAGUAAAUCCUGUCCCUAACCCUGCAGUACAGCUGUGCCGUGUACAGGAGGGUGCUGUCUGACGCCAGACACCUGGACUACAGAUCGCAGCCUGAUUCCUGGUCAUUGCUCCACUGAACCCCAGACCCCAGCCUCGUUCUGGGCCCUCAUCCCCUAGAUCCAGGGACCCCAGCCCCAUUUCAGCCCUUGGGCCCUUGUAGGAUGCGAGGCCCUGGGCCCCAGCCCCCAGCCCAUCCGUGGCCCAGGCACUGGGGGGCUGAGGUCCUCUGAGAAGGGACACAGGGCCUGGGGGGCUCUCUCAGCCCAUCAGCAGGAGAGGACUGACUCCAGAAAAAUCAGCGUUUGUACCCACUCAGGCUGCCAAGACCUGUGUCCGUCCUUCCAAGCUCAACCUUCAGAGUUCAUGAGGCCCCUUGCCCAGAAUGUCCACAGAGUUCAUGAGGCCCCUUGCCCGGAAUGUCCACAUUUGAAACCUCCCAACACCGAGCCCCAUUUCAAGUAUAACCAGGAGGGAAAAUGGUGCUUGAAAUAAGCAUGCCACAAAGGAAAACCUGCUUUCUCGAAAUGGGCCCUGGCCGCCCAGGCCCUGACCUCCCCGGCCAGGAUGGAACGUUCCAGAGACCCAUUAGUGCCAAAGGCAAAUGAAAACACACCCUGUGAAAAUGUC
ensembl:lncRNA CEROX1 cytoplasmic endogenous regulator of oxidative phosphorylation 1